UACGUAGGCAGCAAGCGUUGUUCGGAAUUACUGGGCGUAAAGGGUGCGUAGGCGGCUUUUUAAGUUUGUUGUGAAAUCUCCCGGCUCAACCGGGAGGGUGCGGCGAAUACUGAGAAGCUAGAGUGUGGGAGAGGAAAGUGGAAUUCCUGGUGUAGCGGUGAAAUGCGUAGAUAUCAGGAGGAACACCGGUGGUGUAAACGGCUUUCUGGACCAUAACUGACGCUGAGGCACGAAAGCGUGGGUAGCAAACAGG
rnacentral:rRNA from 1 species